UACGUAGGGGGCAAGCGUUGUCCGGAUUUAUUGGGCGUAAAGAGCGUGUAGGCGGCCAGACAGGUCCGUUGUGAAAACUCGAGGCUCAACCUCGAGAUGUCGAUGGAAACCGUCUGGCUAGAGUCCGGAAGAGGAGUGUAGAAUUCCUGGUGUAGCGGUGAAAUGCGCAGAUAUCAGGAAGAACACCUAUGGCGAAGGCAGCACUCUGGGACGGUACUGACGCUGAGACGCGAAAGCGUGGGGAGCGAACAGG
rnacentral:rRNA from 1 species